UAUUAACGAUCAGAUGUUUUGUCAGAUGCACAGUAUCAUCAGCGUCUCUGUCCCUGUUUGGUCAAAGGAGAGAACUCGACGAAGGAAUCAUUGGGGCAUGCACUAUACAUCCACCUUUUCAACUAGAGGUCCGAUCACAAAGGCUCAUCAUCUGCAACUGUGAGAGAAGGCCCCCCACUUAGUGUAUUUGACAAGCUGAGUUGGACACUCAGUAUGACAGGGUGUCAGUUUGUCAAAUACCCCAAGUGAGGGGUCACUUGUCUGCUGAGCAUCUCCCACCAGACUGACUUCAAAGAAGAUCACUUCAUAAACUUUCAAGUGACUUUCACUGUUACCCCGUUAGACUUUCUCAGGCAAAACAUUUGAUUGUGUGAUAGUGUACAUGAUCCUGCACGGUCACUAAUGUCUCAUGUAUUCGUGUGAGUUUGUAUGAUGACACUUGGUACACUGUGUAACAAAUGUGUGUGUCCCUGUAUUAAAUACUGCAUAAGAACUGGGUAAA